CCCCGCUCCGCCCUCUGUGCCUGGAGCACCUCCUGGAGUACCAGCCCCUCCCAGCUCUGCUGGCCUUCCUCCAGUCAUCCCCAGGCGCCCCGUCCCCCUUCCCCACUCUCCGUGUGCACGGCUGCUCCACGGGGCGUGCCCGGGGCUAAGAGUGGGAAGGGGGGAUCCAUGAGCAAACCCCUCCCUCUCCUUGGGGGGACACCCGGUCAUCCCGCCUGCCACUGCCACCCAGGCUGAGGACGCCCCUUCUCUGCUGUGUGGGAGGGGAAUGGGGGUGCUCAAGGCUGUGUGGUUUGGGCAAAUCAGAGCCGUUUCUGGGCCAUGAAGGACACAGCUCACCCCUGACGUCGGACGGGCCUGGAGUUGCCCCCCUCCCCAGGGCGUUGGGACAGGAGCUCUGGUCCCUUCCAGAACCUAUGGCCUUCGUGGGAACCACACAAAGCACCCCUCGAAAGGUCUCCCGCCUUGGACGUGACAGGGUGCUUGGCUCACCUGCGGCCACUGUCUUCAGGAAAGGCGAGGCAGUGUUGGGGGUGGUGCACCCCGGGGGCCGGCAUUCUGCUCCUGCCUCCUGCCAGCUCAGAAGCCGGGCUUUUCUGGGCACAGCGUGGGGUUGCACCGGUGCUGAGCUAAGCAGCCUGCACAACCGGCAGUCGCCCUCUGUUCCUGCCCAGGCCUGGCUCAGAGUCCACCUCCUGCGACGUCUUCGGGGACCCUGUCUCCGGGUACACCUGGAAAGCCCUCUUGUUUCUCGGAACUCCCAGAGCCUGGCUCUCCAGCCUGCCUGACUCAUGACGCCGGGCUUAUCUCCCCUGCAAUCUCGAGGCCCAGAACUCCAGAGAGCGCCAGGCCUGGAGCCUGCCCCGCACACAGUAGGCGCCCCUGAGUGCACGCUCACAGAGGGAGGAGGGACUGCAUGAACACACGCCUGGCUCUGAACUGUGGAGAUCGGGUCCCCCAGGAACCCAGGCUGUUCAACUGUCAGCUCCUGUGUUCAGCAGCGAUUUUGUCAUCGGACGUUUCCCAAGGGGGAAACAUGACCACGGAGACGGGCAAGCUUGCUUCUUCCUAGGGCGUGACUAGAGCGUGCAUGUGUGUGUGUGUGCAUGUGAGCGUGUGCGUGUGUGCCAUGCCGGGACAGAAGGGCAGCCUUCUCUUCCUUCCCCGGGGCUGGGUCGGGCUGCAGUGGAAGCAGGAACAAACACGUCUGAGCACCUACUGUGUGCUCGGAGCAUUUUCAGCCGCUCUCUGUCGUGGCCCUGGGAUGCGAGGCAGCUGUCACGGUCCGGGGAUUGGCACCACUACUGCCCGGGACGCUCAGAGAGGAGUCUGGCCUGGCCAAGGUCACACAGCUGUUAGAUGCCACCGAGCUGGCACUGGGACUCGGAUCUCCGUCCCUCCUGCAAAAAAAAAAAAAAAAAAAAAAAAAAACAAAACCAAAAAACCCAGACUCCCCACGCAGUGCUCACCGCCCUCCCCCGCGAGGCACCUCUCUAAGAAUUUAGAAGAGUAUUUCUGGAAUGAGGUGAGCAAUACUCCUAGUCAUUUCUAUUAGCCUCGCAGAGAAUAUAAAUACGGAAUGAAGCAGGGUCAGGGUGGGGGAAGGGGCGGAGAGAGAAUUCAAACUACUGAACCAUGAAGAGAAGAGAGAAGAACAAGCAGACCUUUGUUUUUCUCAUCACCUGGAAAAAUCCAGCAUCUUUGAGGCCGAUGUCAUCAGGCCCUGCCCUGCCCCGUGCCAGCCCCGACAGCUGCUCAUCUCCUGGGCACUUCUGAUUCUGGGAAGUCCUAGCUGUGUGACCGUCACGAGGACUGCUUCCAGGUGUUUUCCAAGAAAGGUCUCCAGGACGACUCAGACCCAGUCUGGAUGAGAGCUUUUGUUCUCUCCUGUCACAGCAAUUAUGGCCACGUGAUUGGGUCAUUAAUGACGUCACCAGGAGAUAAUAUACACGCAAUGAUGUCAUGAGGAGCCAAUGUACAGGCAAUGAUGUCACGAGGAGGUAAUGUACAUGCAGUGACAUCACAAAGGAGGUAAUAUACACACAAUGAUGUCAUGGGAGGCAAUUUGCAGGCAAUGACAUCAUGAAGAGGCAAUGUAUAGGCAAUGACAUCACAAGGAGGCAAUUUACAGGCAAUGAUGUCACGAGGAGGUAAUGUACAUGCAAUGACGUGUUAGAAUGUAAGCUCUUCGAGGGUGGGACUGUCUGGUCACUGCUGUAUCCAACCUUCACCCCUCACUGGCGCUCAGCAAAUUAUGAUGGAAUGCAAAAGGUGGGGGGAUCCAUGCCUGCCUUUUCUCCCUGGUGUCCCCAGCAGCCCCCAUAGCCACCUGCUCAGAGAUAUUUGAAGGCUUACUAUGUUCGAGGCUCCAUUAGCCACCCUGAGUACGCCAUCUCACUUAAUCCCCACAACCACCCUCCACAUUACGGUUGGGCAAUGGAGGAGGCCCAGAGAGGUUGUGUACUUUGCCCAAGGUCACACGGGCAAUGAGAAGCUGUGUCAUGGUCCGAUUCCAGGUCUUACUCUGUAGUGAGUUUGAUGAUGGCCCUCCAAAGUGCAGCCCGUGCCCCAGUCCCCAGAACCAGAGCGGGACGUUAAGUUGGAAAAAGGAUCUUUGUAGAUGUAUUCGUGAAGGAUCAGGAGAUAAGAUCACCUUGGAUUAGGGUAGGCCCCAAAUCCCAUGACCAGUGUCUUUAGAAGAGAAGGCCUGGGGGUGGGGGGACCCUACAGAGAAGGCGGGAAGAAGAGAUCCGGUGACAUGGCUACAUACCAAGGCACACCAAGGCUCGCUUGCGACCACAGAAGCUGGGAGAGAGGCGUGGGGACGGACUUUCCCUCAGAGCUUCCAGAAGGAGCCAACCUUGCCAACACCCAGACUCCAGACUCUGGUCUCCAGAACUAUGACGGAAUAGAUUUCUUUGUUUCUAGCCACCUAUUCUGCAGUAAGUUGUUACGGCAGCCCCGGGAAACCCAGACCGCAGACCACACCGUGUGCUCUCUGGUGCUCCUCGCCAGGCCCGGAAGCGAGGGGCACAAGGGUCACCCGCUGUGUCCUGCUGGCCUGGUCACCUGCCUCCCCUGGGCCUGAUGUCUCUGUAGUGAAAGCAGCACUCGAUACACCGAGUGUCCCUCCAACCCUGACAUUCUACAGCGUUCAAGAAAAACCACGAGCCAGGCGACAGGGCUAUGUUGGGAUUUUCAAAUUUAUUCCAACGUGCUGUGUCUUUUUUUUAAAAAAUAUCCUCAGGCUGAACACCCAGCCAGAGCUGUAAUAAAGGCAAUUAUUAUACUUGUAAAAACCUCUCAUUCACAGUACAGAUGUAAUUUACAACAAAGGUCACACACAUCAAUACUGAGCAUUUUUUUCCUUUUGUAUAUCAGACUCUGUGCUUUAGACCUGCAUGGGUUUUUUGUUUUUUGUUUUUUUGUUUUUCUUUUUCACUGAUAUAUACCAUACCGACAUUGCAAGAUGCAAGUGUAGAAACUGGAGUUUAAAUAAA